CACACCGUCCCAUGAAGAACCCUACAAGAUCCACCAAUCCAGCGCCUACUGCAGUGGAGAAGAUAUGGCCAGUGAUGUAUUCAUUGACUUUCCCGACCAACUCUCUCACCUGGAAGGGAUGCUUAGGCGACUGAGUGGUGACCUGCUGAAGGAGAAGAGAGACAAGGUGGCUCUUCUGGCAGAGGUGUUGAAGCUUCGCAUUAGCAACCAACAUCUGAGAGAAGAGUCCCUCUGUGCAGUUGCACAACUACACAAAAUCAGCAACAUUUUAAA